GCUGCUGGAGGCGAUGACUGCUUGAGCUGGCUGAUGUUGGCGAAGGAUGGUGAUGGCGGCUGCUGGCGCUGGCAGCUGGUGCUGGCCAUGGCUGCUGGUGGCGACUGCUGACUGCUGGAAUAAGAGGAGACUUGAGGCUGUGGAGACUGCGGACGGUGUGCCGGGAAUGGAGUGGCCGAGUACAUCCAUGGCAACCAGUAAGGUGUUCGUCAGUGGCCUAGAUGGUAUGACCUUAGGUGAGGAGGUCUGCUGUGUGGAAAUCGCCUUCUUGGUCUGACUCUUGCUGCCAAGCUGUUCCACUACGUUGGAGGAUUCCAUAAGGGAAUCACUCGUCUGGGAACGGAAGAGGUGCUCCACGUGCUGCAGGAGAGUGAACAGCUCAUCGGAUGGCCGAGCGAGAAGCUGAUGACCCUCUUCGCUACGUAUCCAGCCAGGUGGUAGAGGACACAAGACUCGGUCUUUGUGAGGUCAGGUGGUGAUGGGUCUACCAGCUGCUCCACUCUCACAACCUCAGAAGCACUGCAGUUGCUGUUCUUGUUGUCCAAGAAGUCCGCCAAGUGGUCUGAUGCAUCUUCCAGAUCUUCCUGGAUCUCCAGGAUCGUUG